AUUAACGCUGGCGGUAUGUAUAAUACAUGCAAGUCGAGUGGGUUUAGACCCACGGCGAACGGCUGAGUAACACGUUGGUAGUUACCUCGCACUCGGGGAUAACCUUUAGAAAUAGGGGAUAAUACCGGAUGGUCCCGAAAGGGUAAAGAUUUAUCGGUGCGAGAGACGCAUGCGGCCUAUCAGCUUGUUGGUGAGGUAAAAGCUCACCAAGGCUAUGACGGGUAGCGGUUCUGAGAGGAUGAUCCGCCACACUGGUACUGAGACACGGACCAGACUCCUACGGGAGGCAGCAGUGAGGAAUAUUGCACAAUGGGGGCAACCCUGAUGCAGCAACGCCGCGUGGAUGAUGAUGCAUUUCGGUGUGUAAACUCCUUUUAUAUGUCAAGAAAAUGACGGUAGCAUAUGAAUAAGCACCGGCUAACUCCGU
rnacentral:rRNA from 1 species